AGCCACGUGCGUACUGCACCACCCAGGGACCUCUAUGAAUGACAGGACUCAGAAACCAGCGUUGCUGAGAAUUCUCUGGAACCAGAUAAUCUCUAUGGCAGUGUGAACAGAGCUGUCAGUGAUGACAAUGUCAAUCCAACAGAUGAUCAAAAUUCCAUUCCAUCACAUAAAGAAAACAUUCUUCAAAGUCGCCAAAGAACUGUAGGUAAAUGAUGAUG